GGGUGGGUGCAGACUUCCUCUGUCCCUCUUUUCCAGGAUCAACAUCAUCAAGGAAGAAGCCAAAAAAGGGGAAAUUAGACCCAAGGCAGAGCGAGAGUGGCCCCUGACUCCAUCUGCUGCACCCCGCAAACCAGAACCAGUUGCGCUGGAGACGAGAACACCCGGGCCUGCGUCCCAGGGUACUGGCCCAGGAGGAGGAGGAGGAUUUAGAAGUUACCUGACUCCCGGGUCCCUUGUGCCCAGUCCAGCCUGAGCCACGCAGGUGGGUCCCUUGGGUGCGAAGGUGUUAAUAACGCUCCCUGGGGGACCAACUUUCCCAGGG
rnacentral:lncRNA from 1 species